UUGAUGGGAUUCCCUUUGUGGGUGACCUGACCUUUCUAGCUGUCUUUAACAUUUUUUUCUUUUGUUUUGAUCUUGGAGAUUCUGAGGAUUAUGUGUUUUGGGGAUAAUCUUAUGAAGUAUCUUACUAGAAUUCUCUGUGUUUCCUGAAUUUGAAUGUUUGCCUCUCUAGCUGGGUUGGGGUAGUUCUCAUGGAUGAUAUCCUGAAAUAUGGUUUCCAAGUUGCUUGCAUUCUCUCCAUUUCUUUCAGGGACACCAAUGAGUCACAGAUUUGGUCUCUUUACAUAAUUCCAUUUUUCUCAGAAUUCUUGUUUAUUCCUUUUCAUUAUUUUUUCUCUGUUCUUGUCUAACUGUCUUAUUUCAGAAAGCCAGGUAUAAACUCUGAGAUUCUCUCCUUAACUUGGUCUAUUUUGCUAUUAAUACUUGUGAUUGCAUUAUGAAAUUCUUAUGGAGUGUUUUUCACCUUUAUCAAGUUGAUCGUAUUCUUUUUUGUACUGGCUGUUUUGUCUGUCACCUUCUGUAUCCUUUUAUUUAGAUUCUUACCUUCCUUGGAUUGGGUUUCAAUGUACUCCUUCAUCUCAAUGAUCUUUGUUCCCAUCCAUAUUCUGAAUUCUAUUUCUGACAUUUCAGCCAUAACAACCUGGUUCAGAAAUCUGCUGAAGAGGUAAUGUGGUCAUUUGGAGGGAAAAAGGCACUCUGACUUUUUGAGUUGUCAGCUCUUGCGCUUGUUCUUUCUCAUUGUGGUGGGCUAAUGUUCCUCAAUCUUUGAAACUGCUGGGUUUGUGUGUGUGUGUGUGUGUGUGUAUGGUAUAAGAUGGGUUCAGUCAACUGGUUUUGUUUCUGGAAGAUUUUAAAGAACCAAGUCUCAGCUCCCAACUUCUAGACUGCAUGCUGUAACUCUGGGGAACUUGCAUCAGGUCGACUUUGUUCUCUGGCUCCUCUAGGUUAAGAACCCAUUGGUGCUGGUGGGGCUGAGGUGCCCCUUGACCACUGAUUACUACACUCUGAUAGGUGGUGCCAGCCAAAAUGUUUCCUAGGGCAGUGGCAGUAGGACCUGUCCUUGUUUGCAUGUGCCAACAGCAGCAGCAGCAUGGUGGGGUGCAUCCUCAUUAGCUGCAGCAGGGUGCUAGCAGGUGUUGGGGUGCCUGCCUUCAUGCAGGCAUUCACAGCAGCAGUAGAGGCAGUACAGCUUGGGGCAGGAGUCCAUUGGUGACUGUGCACACAGUCAUGCUGGUGAUGGUAUUAGCAUGGGAGCAAGAUGUUGGCAGGCUCAGGUCUGUGUGUGCCCCUGUGGCUGCUCAAGGAGGGUCUGCUAUUCUCCAUGCCUAGUUUCACUCUGGCAGCAGUGUUGGCACAGGGUGGGGCACUGGCAAGGGCAAUGCUGAUGGGCUCUGUACUUCCCAAGGUUCUGACUACAAUGGCAGUAUCACAGGGAAGAGGAGGCAGAGUGCACACCCCUGGACAGCAGAGGCAGGGCAGAGUGCACAUGCACACACACUAGCAGAGCAGGAAAGGCAAGAUCUCCUAUGCACAUAUGCACUGGCAAAUCAAUGUUAGGGUUGGCUGUGGGCCCAGGGAAAGCAGCAGUUUGAGGAGAUAGCAGGCCAGAUGGUAUGUGGUCAUGGGGGCUCCCCCCCUGGAACUUUCUUCUGGUCAGGCAUGGUCCACAAGUGCAGGAGAUUUGAUGUGGGUCCUCAGAGCAUCCAAGGCUGCACUGCAAGCAGUAAUGGCAAGGCUGGGGCCUCUGGAGAGGCUGGAAGACCAAGGGUUGCUCAGGUUAGAUCAGUCCUGUCAGAUGGGCCAGACUGCCUUCCAGGGUUCAGGUCUGAGUUUCUCUAGGACUAAGUCCUAGAGAUGGGAGGAAGUCAAGCCUGGAGAGAUGGGCAUCCCUGGCCAUGCUUUGCUACAGACCCUCCUACUCGAAACUUUGGUUGGUAUGCUGCCCCUUCCGCUUUUCUAAGCAGUUCUCCCUGAUAACUCAAGUGUCCAUGGUGGUCAAGGAGUCUCCUUCUGAUGGAAUUCCAGAGGCCCAUGUGAGAGUGAUUUGCUCCUUUCCAGUUAAACUUAACCAUUCCCCUGAAAUCCCUGGGGGCCAGGAAUGAGUCCCAGUCCAUAGUAGCAAUGUGCAGGGGUCCCUGCUUCUUUCUCCUUCAGCCCAGCUUCUGUGUCUUCCCUCUGUCCACUCUCAGUGCCUUUCCUCUGAAGAUCUGUUAGGAGUCAUCCUGGUCCCUCUGUGGCAGCUGUUUCACCUGGCUGCUGCUAGUUAGCCAUCUUACCCAAAUCCCAAUACCUUUCUUUCUAAGAGAAACAGUUCAGCAGAUUCAAGGAAUGAGCAAUAAGUUAUAGGUAGCAUCAGCAAGUGGGUAUCUAGCCUCCUGCUUUGUGCCCUGGGCGAGCAUGAAAGUCAACCUACUGAAGAAAAGCUUUCAUAUUAUCAACUGUGUUUCUUCCUAAGAUACUCCUUAAUUGUUUGAAAAUAUAAUUUUGUGCCAUUCAAACCUUCUCUAAUUCUCAAAACUAGAAAGUAUCUGUCUCAGGUUCUUAAAGGAAGAAAAAACAAAUUGAGUUAGGAAGACUUGUAGUAGCUAGCUUCCAAGAUGACCACUCUAUUUAACUGGUUCAGUGAAUCCAGUGAACCUCACUUCUUGGUAUUCAUACCCUUGCUUACUACUCUUUCAUAUUAAGAAGAGCUGACUUGUAUAACAAAUAAGUUAUUAUUGCAGAAAUAAAUAUACAUGACAUGUGACUUCCAAGCUAGGUUGUAAAAGACAUGUGGCUUCUACCUUACUCUGUCUUGUGAUGCUUGCUCUCAGUGAAGACAGUCACUGCAUGAUGAGAAUGCUCAAGAAGCUAUAUAGUGAAGUUCAUGUAGUGAGGAGCGAGGCCUCCUGUCCAUAACCAGUUCUAACCUGCCAGCCACAAGAGUGAACCAUACAGGAAGUGAGUCCUCCAGUUACCAUCAAGCCAUUAUAUGAUGCAGCCUCAGUUGACAUCUUGAUUGUGACAUCAUGAGACUCUAAGCCAGAACCACUCAGAUAAGCUGCUCUCAGAUUGCUGCCCCACAGAAACUAUAUGAGAUUUUAAUACGUUUAAUCUUUGGAAUACUGCUACAGAAUCAAAGUUGAUAUUUAAAGAUGAAUUUAUUCUCUCCCAAAAGUUAUGGAAUGUUUGAAUGAAAAUAACCAAAGUAUUCAAAAACACACAGAAUCAGUUCAUGUUCCAUUAAAACACUGGGAAAUAUGUACAUACAGGUAAGGUCUUCAUUAUCACAGUGCAGAGAGCCUCCAUGUUCUGGUCCUGGUUUCUCUUUAGCUUCAUCUCUUUCUGAGCCAUGUUUUAUACCCCAUUGUUUAGCUUGCUGGAAUAAUACAAAUAAUUCAUGUUUCCCCCAAUCCACUCUAUUUUUGACAUCUAGCUCACAACAAUUCCUAGGUGUCAGGAAACAGUUCACUCCUUGGUUCACCUAAAAAAUAUCUGCAUCUCUUUUAGACAUUAGCUGGAGCAUCAUCUUUUCCCUGAAGCUUUUACUGAUACUCUAAAGUAAAUUUCUUUUUUUGUGUGUACCCUAUAACAUGUAAAUAACCUUCUUUGUUUUGAGGUCUCUUUUUGUCUACUAGAUUACAAAUGCUUUCUCCUAUCUUGAAUAAACCAAAGUAGAAUAGCUGAUUGACUCCAUGGAGUGAUCUCUUUGUUAGCUCCACAAUUAAUGUUUCUGCAAACUUGCUCGAACCUGACGUUCUGUAAAAACAGGUACAACUCUUUUCUUUAAGAAACUGUGUUUGCUCUUGAAGUUCAAUUGCACCUGAUACUGAAAUUACUCAAGCAUGCUAAGGUGUUUUUAGAUCCAUGUAAAGGUUUUUUGCACCCUUUCCUAAAAAUAAGUCUUGAGAGAUGAGGAUUGGGAGAGAUGCAGAAAUGUGAGCACUGAGGGGAAGAUAGCACCAAAGAGACAUAACACAUUAUAGAAAGAGAUUGUCCAUUCUGAGAGUUUGCCAUAUAGGCCAGUAUACUGGUGGUUUCAACCAGAGUAUAUUACAGCAGUACAGAGAAGCCUAGGUGCUGGGUAAAUUGUUAUUCUCUCUGUAUGAGGAAAAGGAUUUAUUUUCUCAUCCAACCUUAGGAUAAUGGCUGAGAUCCCUAUAUCAAAAGACAGAAUAGCAAGAGGAAAGCAUAUAAAUAUAUUUAAUAUAAGUUUUAUGCAGCAUAAGAGCCUUCAUGAAGAAAUGAAGUCCCUAAGAAACAGGGAAAACUGUGUGUUUUAUACUAAAUUUGGUGAAGAAGUAAAUGGUUGUGGAGAAGUGUGAAUUGAAAUAAGGAGUGUUAUCUCAUGGUAAUAAAACUGAAGAGAACUUAGCAGGCUUGUUUGUUUAAAUUCUUAUCUGUGCCCAUGUGUCUUCUAAGAUAAAGGUAGAGGGAGUGCACUCUCAAAUAAGAAUCUUAUGACCUGCUUCAGCGGAAGGUCAGAACAUUCUAGUAUGGCCUGCUUCAGGGGAAAAGGGGAGUAGAAGAUCACAGAGACCUUCCUGUUUCUGCUAUUUUCUCAAAUCCAAGGAGCUACAUCUUGAGGUAGUGUAUUUUGAUAGUUCCCAUCAUCUCCAUGCCCAUCUUGGCUUAAUUCCAGCUCCAGAGUACAAAUGGGUGUGGGGGUAGAAAAAAUUUCAUGAAAAAAACAUACUGGGCUAGUAGGAAAUGAACCAUAGCAUAAGAAGUGCUACAUAUCCUAAGGAAACUCAGUUCUUGAUCUUUUGAUAAAUAGAAGAAAUAGUAUUCACUGAAAUUGACCUAAAAGGCAAAGAUGUGAUGCCAUGAGAUGUCAAAGAUGCUCAUUGUUUUUAGAUAUGCAUAGUCACAAGCUUCUAUGGAGGAGGAAGAGAAUAGAAAAAAAGAAAAAUAUGAUAUAUUGGAAAAAUCUAAAAAUAAUUUCACUGUGCCAUAGCUGAAGAUUGCUACAAGUCCAUGAAAUUGAACUAACAUUACAGCAAAUAGCCUGUGCACUCUUCAGCAUGAUUUUCUCAGAUCUCUGGCAGAAGGAAGUAAUUCUGGUACUCAGUUGAGAGUUGGAAGGUGGAACACUUCCAAUUUAGAGCAAACUCUUAGGUCUGUUUGCCACAUGUUGUUUUUUUAAUAGUCAUUUAAUUUUGGUGAAACAGCUUUGUGGAACUAUGGAGGUGUCUCCUGUCUGUCUCUUAGCUUGCCUCUUUGAGAUCAUUAAU